GAGUGAGGAGGAGGAAGGCUUCGAGCUGGGCGUUGCUCUGGCAACGCCGCGGCCUUCGCCCCGUCAUGGCCCGUGAGGGCCGGGGGGGCGCCUCCCCUCAGCCUCAAGCCCGCCAAAACGAGGGGGGAGGUUCCUGUUGCUUUUUAUUGAAAGCCUCAAUUAAAAUUAAUCUGGGAAGGAAGUAGCUGAAAACACUGGCUGCAUCUCUGUGUCUCUUGGAGGUCACUUGCUGAUUUAUCUUCAAUUCACAGCUCAUUAGAAGGUGUGUAACUCUUCAGAGAUGUUGUUAUUUAACAGGAAGGAGCGAUUCCCGUGGUCAUCAGAACCAGGCACAGAAGCUGUUUCCUGAACCGGGCUUUUCUUGUAGUGACACUGGAGGAUCUGUUAAAUCCAGUGACUCAAAAAUUGUUCAGCUGUUCAAGAAUUUCGAGAGGUGUGUUUUAAUUGCUGCUGUUAGACCAUUACGGAGGUAUUUAGGUCAGAAGAUGUAAUGAUCGUGACGUUGGUAUUCUCUAAUGGGUGUCCUUAAAGGUGCCGGAAUUUCAAUAGAAUCUUUGAAGUUUCUAAAAAUUAGGGGCUUUUCCCAUUUAAUUUGCUCAUCUGAAUGUGUGAAUCCCCGUGUGAAUCGUUCAAUAGAACAGUGAAUUCUCAUGUGUGUAAACAUGAGUGGAUUUACCCGGAAGGAGUAGAUGAGUUUGUUAAUUUAUAUUCCAUUUGUAGUACCUGCUAGUAGUUACAUCCUUAAUUAUUCUGUAUUUUCCUUGUUAAAUCAUAGAAUACCCUGAGUUGGAAGGCAUCCACUGAGAUCAUCAAAGUCCCACUCCUGGCCCUGCACAGGACAGCCCUAGCAAUCCCACCAUGUGUGCGAUAUACAGCAAUAUAUUUAAUGUUCCAAACCUAAUUUAAUCUUCUAACAUAACUCACAAAAUGGAAUUUGACUUUCUGUUUACCUUUUUAGGGAUGAAAGAGGGACGUCUUGGAUGUUAUUGUCUGGUCAGGUUUUAGUUAAGUGACUCUUCUGUCUGAAAGCAAUUUGUCAAACCUGUGUGUUAUACAAUAUUCCAGCCCUCUGGAUGCACAUCCAAUUUUGUCACUGAGGAAAGACAGCUUUAUUUUUAAAAAGCAGAUGUCUGGAAAAAGAAAUAUCUCCUUUCAGACCUUUUGGAAUUAAUACAAACCCAGAAAUGUAGUAGGCAAAAUCUUGUUUGCUGUGGUGAAGGGGAUUCGUCCCCUUAACGUCAGCACAUAAAUAUUUGCUUCAUUUCAGUCAAUAUUUACCUCACGGGUCAAUAAAACUUG